rnacentral:rRNA from 1 species
UUGCAGAAAGGACCGGGGGGGUUAAAACAUGCAAGUCGAACGCACAGCGAAAGGUGCUUGCACCUUUCAGUGAGUGGCGAACGGGUGAGUAACACGUGGACAACCUGCCUCAAGGCUGGGGAUAACAUUUGGAAACAGAUGCUAAUACCGAAUGAAACUUAGUGUCGCAUGAUACGAAGUUAAAAGGCGCUUUGGCGUCACCUAGAGAUGGAUCCGCGGUGCAUUAGUUAGUUGGUGGGGUAAAGGCCUACCAAGACAAUGAUGCAUAGCCGAGUUGAGAGACUGAUCGGCCACAUUGGGACUGAGACACGGCCCAAACUCCUACGGGAGGCUGCAGUAGGGAAUCUUCCACAAUGGGCGAAAGCCUGAUGGAGCAACGCCGCGUGUGUGAUGAAGGCUUUCGGGUCGUAAAGCACUGUUGUAUGGGAAGAACAGCUAGAAUAGGGAAUGAUUUUAGUUUGACGGUACCAUACCAGAAAGGGACGGCUAAAUACGUGCCAGCAGCCGCGGUAAUACGUAUGUCCCGAGCGUUAUCCGGAUUUAUUGGGCGUAAAGCGAGCGCAGACGGUUGAUUAAGUCUGAUGUGAAAGCCCGGAGCUCAACUCCGGAAUGGCAUUGGAAACUGGUUAACUUGAGUGCAGUAGAGGUAAGUGGAACUCCAUGUGUAGCGGUGGAAUGCGUAUAUAUAUGGAAGAACACCAGUGGCGAAGGCGGCUUACUGGACUGUAACUGACGUUGAGGCUCGAAAGUGUGGGUAGCAAACAGGAUUAGAUACCCUGGUAGUCCACACCGUAAACGAUGAACACUAGGUGUUAGGAGGUUUCCGCCUCUUAGUGCCGAAGCUAACGCAUUAAGUGUUCCGCCUGGAGAGUACGACCGCAAGGUUGAAACUCAAAGGAAUUGACGGGGACCCGCACAAGCGGUGGAGCAUGUGUUUUAAUUCGAAGCCACGCGAAGAACCUUACCAGGUCUUGACAUCCUUUGAAGCUUUUAAAAAUAAAAGUGUUCUCUUCGGAAACAAGUGACAGGUGGUGCAUGGUCGUCCUCACCUCGUGUCGAGAAAUGUUGGGUUAAGUCCCGCAACGACCCCACCCUUAUUGUUAGUUGCCAGCAUUCAGAUGGCCCUCUAACGAAACUGCCGGUGAAAAACCCGGAAGAAGGGGGGAAGACGUCGAAUCUUCUGCCCCUUAAGACCGGGGCUAACCCCGGGGUUAAAGGGCAAAAAAAAGAGUUGCCCACCCCGGGGGGGGGCCUACCCUUAAAGGCCCCCUAUUCGGAAUGGGCCCCCCCCCCCCAACUGAAGCCGAACCCCUAAAUCCGGAACCCCCCCCCCGGGAAAAAAUUUCCCGGUUUUUAACCCCCCCCUCCCCGGGGGGAUUUUUUGGCCCCAAAGCCGGUGGCCUAACCUUUAGGAAGGAGCCUUCUAAGGCAGGACCAGGCCCC